rnacentral:rRNA from 1 species
GAUGAACGCUAGCGGGAGGCUUAACACAUGCAAGUCGAGGGGCAUCACGGGUAGCAAUACCUGGUGGCGACCGGCAGACGGGUGAGUAACGCGUAUGUAACCUACCCUGUACAGGGGGAUAACCCGGAGAAAUUCGGACUAAUAUCCCAUAAUGAUAUCUGGGGGCAUCUUCGGAUAUUUAAAGUUCCGGCGGUACGGGAUGGGCAUGCGUAACAUUAGCUAGUUGGUAAGGUAACGGCUUACCAAGGCUUUGAUGUUUAGGGGUCCUGAGAGGGUGGUCCCCCACACUGGUACUGAGACACGGACCAGACUCCUACGGGAGGCAGCAGUGAGGAAUAUUGGUCAAUGGGCGCAAGCCUGAACCAGCCAUCCCGCGUGCAGGAAGACGGCGCUAUGCGUUGUAAACUGCUUUUCCAGGGAGAGAAACUUGCGCACGUGUUGCGCAAUUGACGGUACCCUGGGAAUAAGCAUCGGCUAACUCCGUG